GAUGAACGCUAGCGAUAGGCUUAACACAUGCAAGUCGAGGGGCAGCAUGGUCUUAGCUUGCUAAGACUGAUGGCGACCGGCGCACGGGUGCGUAACGCGUAUGCAACUUGCCUCACAGAGGGGGAUAACCCGUCGAAAGACGGACUAAUACCGCGUACACUCCAUCUUGGGCAUCCAAGGUAGAGGAAAUGAAAUUCGCUGUGAGAUAGGCAUGCGUCCCAUUAGCUAGUUGGUGAGGUAACGGCUCACCAAGGCGACGAUGGGUAGGGGAACUGAGAGGUUGAACCCCCACGCUGGUACUGAGACACGGACCAGACUCCUACGGGAGGCAGCAGUGAGGAAUAUUGGUCAAUGGGCGAGAGCCUGAACCAGCCAAGUCGCGUGAAGGAUGACUGUCUUAUGGAUUGUAAACUUCUUUUAUACGGGAAGAACAAGAGUCACGUGUGACUCCCUGCAUGUACCGUAUGAAUAAGCAUCGGCUAACUCCGUG
rnacentral:rRNA from 1 species